rnacentral:rRNA from 1 species
UACGUAGGGGGCUAGCGUUGUCCGGAAUCAUUGGGCGUAAAGAGCGUGUAGGCGGCCAGGUAGGUCCGUUGUGAAAACUCGAGGCUCAACCUCGAGACGUCGAUGGAAACCAUCUGGCUAGAGUCCGGAAGAGGAGAGUGGAAUUCCUGGUGUAGCGGUGAAAUGCGCAGAUAUCAGGAAGAACACCUAUGGCGAAGGCAGCUCUCUGGGACGGUACUGACACUGAGGCGCGAAAGCGUGGGGAGCGAACAGG